rnacentral:rRNA from 1 species
CCUACGGGUGGCAGCAGUAGGGAAUAUUGCGCAAUGGGCGAAAGCCUGACGCAGCAACGCCGCGUGAACGAGACGCCCUUCGGGGUGUAAAGUUCUGUUUGUUGGGGCGAAAAAUGACGGUACCUACAGAGUAAGCACCGGCUAACUCCGUGCCAGCAGCCGCGGUAAUACGGAGGGUGCAAGCGUUGUCCGGAAUCAUUGGGCGUAAAGAGUUCGUAGGCGGCAUGUAAAGUCAGGUGUUAAAGGCGCAGGCUCAACCUGGGUAUGGCACUUGAUACUUGCAAGCUGGAGUGCGGUAGAGGUAAGGGGAAUUCCUGGUGUAGCGGUGAAAUGCUUAGAUAUCAGGAGGAACAUCGAUGGCGUAAGCGCUUUACUGGGCCGUAAUUGACGCUGAGGAACGAAAGCGAGGGUAGCAAAUGGGAUUAGAUACCCUAGUAGUC